rnacentral:lncRNA from 1 species
GGAGAGCCACAGACUCCAGAAGCAACACAUGACCAUUGGCCUCCCCAGAACUUCCUGGGACUUGCCUCACACCCUGCUUUCACGCUCUAGGCUCCUUUCUUUCUCUGGUGAUAUUUCCUCCCAAUAACUCUGAGCUGGAGCAGCCCUGAGCUGGAGAGACUCUGAACUGGAGCAGCCCUGAGCUGGAGCAGCCCUAUGCUGGAGGGACCCUGAGCUGGAGCAGCCCUGUGCUGGAGGGACCCUGAGCUGGAGCAGCCCUGUGCUGGAGGGACCCUGAGCUGGAGCAGCCCUGUGCUGGAGGGACCCUGAGCUGGAGCAGCCCUGUGCUGGAGGGACCCUGAGCUGGAGCAGCCCUGUGCUGGAGGGACCCUGAGCUGGAGCAGCCCUGUGCUGGAGGGACCCUGAGCUGGAGCAGCCCUGUGCUGGAGGGACCCUGAGCUGGAGCAGCCCUGUGCUGGAGGGACCCUGAGCUGGAGCAGCCCUGUGCUGGGACCCUGAGCUGGAGCAGCCCUGAGCUGGAGAGACUCUGAAUUGGAGCAGCCCUGAGCUGGAGAGACUCUGAGCUGGAACAGCCCUAUGCUGGAGGGACCCUGAGCUGGAGCAGCCCUGUGCUGGAGGGACCCUGAGCUGGAGCAGCCCUGUGCUGGAGGGACCCUGAGCUGGAGCAGCCCUGUGCUGGAGGGACCCUGAGCUGGAGCAGCCUUGUGCUGGAGAGACCCCGAGCUGGAACAGCCCCGAGCUGGAACAGUCCCGAGCUGCCUCUCUUGUUAGGAGUGAGCUGGUUUAUCUGUGGGUCACGGAGGUGUACUGAGCUCCAUCUGCAGAUCAGUUAAUCGCUAACAAAUGUGGGCGAGUUUUCACCCAGCACAGACCACAGGCCGUGUCUCAGACGCUUUGCCAAGCCAUUUUGGAGCUGUAAGCAACUGGCCUGCUUCCAAGCUGAAUCUGUUCUGGCACACAGAGGCCAUGAGCCUGUGAAGCUCUGACUCUGGCACUGGGAUUGGGUUCGUGAGGAAUCAUGAGCCAUGAGAUGGCCUCCAGUCGGUCAGCAGGGCAGGAAGGGACUAGGACUCAGGAUUAGGGGCCGAGUCAUCACUGACCUUCACAGCGACCUCUGCACUGGCAGAGGUGGGAAGUGGGGUUUUCAGAACGCCUGCUUCGGUUGCUGGGCACUCUGCUUGGUUAGAGAGAUGGUGGGGUGUCCCACACGCUGGCUGCCCUCACUCCCCUUCCCCUGCCUGCUCGUGGGAUGCAGCGGAUCAGGUGGGCAGGUGGUAGGAGUCAGUUCAAGAGGGUGAACACGACCCUGGAGCUGGAGGGGCAGGAACAAUAUCCUGGGGCAGGCGUGGCCGAGUGUCCCUUAGCUGAGGGACAGUUUCCUGUUUCCUGUCCUUUACGGUGAGCUCCUCCCGGGCAGUGGAAGCAGAUGAGCAUCUGCUGAGGUGUGAGAAGACGCUCUGGAAGAUGAGAGGUUCCGGAUUUCUGCUUGAAUGGUUUCCUCUACUCCCAUCCCUGAGUGCUCUCCCUGCCUGCGACCCACCUCUCAACACAUCCACUCAGGACAAGAUGGAUGAGGAUGAGACUAAUAGCUUCCAGGUGUGGCCUGGCUUCUGGGGUCUCCAUGUUCAUAUUGGGGCAUUAAUAAGCUUCUGCAUCGAGAGUGGUCUAGCUCAGCAUAGUCCAGACUGUAGUCCACAGAUGUGAGAGGCACCGAGACAAGAGGCCUUCAGCUCCAGUUAUAAGACUGUGCUUUGUUACGAGCAGAGCAGACGCUGUCUGUGGGGACCCUAGUUCUGGACUCUCAUCAGGACGUUGGCAUCAGUGAACGCAUCUCAGACCUUUACUGAGGUAGUCACCGUUUUAAUCUGUCGGUCGUGAUUACAGUUGACAGACUCAAAAUAAAAAUUAAGAAAGUAUGAUAGGAAGAGCUCAUAGCUUGUGCCCUUAAAGGGAUCGACUUCAGACAUGGCUGGAUCCAGGCACUCGAAUGGCAGGAUCAGGGAAACAACCCCUCCAUCUCUCCCUCCCACCAUUUUGGUUGUCAGUGGUUUCUCCCCUCUCAGGGUAGUUCUGUUCUUGUACUUGUUUCCAUUUUCAGGAGCCCUAGGAGAAAGGCAUUUUUUUUUAUCCCAAAAUUUAAACCUAAGUACAAAAUAUGAGUCUUACAUAUCUGUCUCUAACCCAGUCUCUGAAGCCAAGGGCCCGGCAUCCACCGAUGGCUCAACGCCUCUACUGUUGUAGACAGAAACCCCAAAUUCAAACUUUUGCAACACACAGUCUAGAAAGAGGAAGGAGGGGAGUCAGCUAGUCGGGUUCCGUGAGCUUCUUGAGACAAGCUGGAAGGUGACAUGGGCCACACAGAAUUAAGGGAAG